UCCCGCUUGGCCCAGUGGUAAGGCGUCUCACUCGUACUACGUGAUUCCAAUGUCACGGUCAAAUGAGAAGAUCAGUUGUUCGAAUCAGCUAGUGGGAA